UACUGUUGGGUAGUUCAUAUUUUAAAAACCGAUCAACUAUUUUGUGUGUAAAAAUCUGAAUCUGAAAACUGACUAUAGCUGUCAAGUAAAUGAAGUUAUCUUAACUGUUUGCCUCUGACAUGUUGUGAAGCAGAAGUAAAAAGUAGAUAAAAAUUGAAAAACUUAGUAUAAGUAACUCAAAAAUGUACUUAAAUAGUAAGUAAUAGUACUCAAGUAAAUGUACUUAGUUAUAUUCCACGACUGGAGUGGCUAACUUUUAGUGUAUGUUUUUCACAUAAAAUGUUAUUGAUCAAAGUGUUCCUUGAGAUGAGAAAAGACACAGUGACAGCAGCUAACAAACAGCUGCCAAAAAAUCUUUAUUCAGUUAUAACCAGAUGCCUCCAGAGUCUUCCAGUCAAACAGAUCACUCUGGAGAAGGUAAACUGUACAUUGAGUCAAACAACAACAGCACCAGAACGCAAUUUGUCAGAAAACACAAUUUACAACAUGAACGAUGGCAGUUUCUACACACAGAGAACAGCUAGGAAAAAAAACAAAACUGGUACAGGAGUUAACAGUCAAUGUGUAUAGAUUCUUCUUAGAGAAAAAUCAUCAUAUAUUCAUAGAAUUUUAUUAUAUUGUGGAAAAGAAUAUAAGAAAACAUUGUUGGUGCAAUAGAGUAUAGUAUUUGUGAUAGAACAUAUACAUAUUGCAAGUGCUUUGUGUGUUAACAAUAAUUCCUAUGUAGGCUAUAAACUGAAUGUGUGACACUGUCUGCGUGUAAUAUGAUGAAACAGGCCGUGUUUUAAAUGUGCAGAGAGAGAACAUUCAGUUUAAACAUGGCUUAGUUUGUGUGUGAGUUUAAGUGGCUGUUAACCAGGCACAGUAGUGCUAAGUCAAGCUAACCUUUACCUGUAGAAAGAAAAAUAGACCCAAAACAUAGUUCAGGUUAGAGGUGACAGAUUUUGUUACCUUCGCAUCAGAUAGAGCCUGACUAGUUUUUUUCCCCAGUUUCCAGUCUUAAUGCUAACCUAAGCUAAGCUAACCAGCUGCUGACUGUAGCUUCAUAUUUAAGGCUCAGACAUGAAAGUGGUGUCAAUCUUCUCAACUAA